GGCCUUUUCUCGGCUGUAGGCGAAGUAUGUUGAGAUGAGAGGUGUCCGGCACAUGAACAGUGGGCCUUAAGAAGUAGAAAGUCAAACAUUUGGGUGAAUGUAUGCUUAAUCAACUAAGGUUGUUUCGAGAUGUUUUUUUUAAUGGUAAUGAUUUUUAAUUGCGGAAAUUAAUGCCACUUGUUAGCUCACUCUCUGAAACCGAGCUGAAGCAGGAAAAUUAGUUUUGUAUUUCGGAUUUUCAAACUAUGCUGCACAGCGCUCCACCCCCAGUGCUGUGCCCUCAUGUUGGAUUGGCUGCCAGUAUUCUGUGGACAGAGGCGAUGUGUCUCUGAGCGUCACUGGGACACACAAGCUCCGCC
rnacentral:lncRNA from 1 species